rnacentral:rRNA from 1 species
UACGUAGGGGGCAAGCGUUGUCCGGAAUCAUUGGGCGUAAAGCGCGUGUAGGCGGUCCGGUAAGUCGGUUGUGAAAGUCCAGGGCUCAACUGAGGAAGUGCGCCCGAAACUGCAGAGCUUGAGUGCCGGAGAGGGUGGCGGAAUUCCCCAAGUAGAGGUGAAAUUCGUAGAUAUGGGGAGGAACACCGGUGGCGAAGGCGGCCAGCCUGGACGGCAACUGACGCUGAGACGCGAAAGCGUGGGGGAGCAAACAGG